rnacentral:rRNA from 1 species
GGGUUGUGAGGUUAAGCGACUAAGCGUACACGGUGGAUGCCCUGGCAGUCAGAGGCGAUGAAGGACGUGCUAAUCUGCGAUAAGCGUCGGUGAGGUGAUAUGAACCGUUAUAACCGGCGAUUUCCGAAUGGGGAAACCCAGUGUGUUUCGACACACUAUCAUUAACUGAAUCCAUAGGUUAAUGAGGCGAACCGGGGGAACUGAAACAUCUAAGUACCCCGAGGAAAAGAAAUCAACCGAGAUUCCCCCAGUAGCGGCGAGCGAACGGGGAGGAGCCCAGAGCCUGAAUCAGUGUGUGUGUUAGUGGAAGCGUCUGGAAAGGCGCGCGAUACAGGGUGACAGCCCCGUACACAAAAAUGCACAUAUUGUGAGCUCGAUGAGUAGGGCGGGACACGUGGUAUCCUGUCUGAAUAUGGGGGGACCAUCCUCCAAGGCUAAAUACUCCUGACUGACCGAUAGUGAACCAGUACCGUGAGGGAAAGGCGAAAAGAACCCCGGCGAGGGGAGUGAAAAAGAACCUGAAACCGUGUACGUACAAGCAGUGGGAGCCUCUUAAUGGGGUGACUGCGUACCUUUUGUAUAAUGGGUCAGCGACUUAUAUUCUGUAGCAAGGUUAACCGAAUAGGGGAGCCGAAGGGAAACCGAGUCUUAACUGGGCGUUAAGUUGCAGGGUAUAGACCCGAAACCCGGUGAUCUAGCCAUGGGCAGGUUGAAGGUUGGGUAACACUAACUGGAGGACCGAACCGACUAAUGUUGAAAAAUUAGCGGAUGACUUGUGGCUGGGGGUGAAAGGCCAAUCAAACCGGGAGAUAGCUGGUUCUCCCCGAAAGCUAUUUAGGUAGCGCCUCGUGAAUUCAUCUCCGGGGGUAGAGCACUGUUUCGGCAAGGGGGUCAUCCCGACUUACCAACCCGAUGCAAACUGCGAAUACCGGAGAAUGUUAUCACGGGAGACACACGGCGGGUGCUAACGUCCGUCGUGAAGAGGGAAACAACCCAGACCGCCAGCUAAGGUCCCAAAGUC